rnacentral:misc_RNA from 1 species
AAGGUUUGACAUGCAGGGAAAAACCGCAGAGAUGUGGUGUCCUUUUAGGGUCUUGCACAGGUGGUGCAUGGCUGUCGUCAGCUCGUGUCGUGAGAUGUUGGGUUAAGUCUCGCAACGAGCGCAACCCUCGUUCCAUGUUGCCAGCACAGCACUUCGGUGUGGUGGGGACUCAUGGGAGACUGCCGGGGUCAACUCGGAGGAAGGUGGGGAUGACGUACCAGUA